UGCCCGCAGGAUAGCUCAGUCAGUACAGCACGAGACUCUUAAUCUCAGGGUCAUGGGUUCAAGUCCCACAUUUGGCAA